rnacentral:rRNA from 1 species
GGAGGGUGCAAGCGUUAUCCGGAUUCACUGGGUUUAAAGGGUGCGUAGGUGGAUUGGUAAGUCAGUGGUGAAAUCUCCGGGCUUAACCCGGAAACUGCCAUUGAUACUAUCAGUCUUGAAUAUUGUGGAGGUCAGCGGAAUAUGUCAUGUAGCGGUGAAAUGCUUAGAUAUGACAUAGAACACCAAUUGCGAAGGCAGCUGGCUACGCAUAUAUUGACACUGAGGCACGAAAGCGUGGGGAUCAAACAGGAUUAGAUACCCUGGUAGUCCACGCCCUAAACUAUGGAUACUCGACAUACGCGAUACACUGUGUGUGUCUGAGCGAAAGCAUAAAGUAUCCCACCUGGGAAGUACGAUCGCAAGAUUG